UUUAUUAUAUUGACAAGAGAGCCGAGUGACCACUCUAUCAAAGGAAAUACAUGUGUUCAACGAAUGAAGACAGGUAGAUCAGGUGGGACCAUUCCAGCCAAUGAGAGGGCAGUGACAAUGGUGGAAGAAGGCGGAGUUUUGUGACUGCAGAAACAGACAUGAGGGGUGAUGAAUGGGUGAAGACCGGCUGAUACCAGAUUUGAAGAAAAGGAAGAAGGGAAGAAGGAGAGAACAGCAGGAACAUAUACUAUACUAUGCAACUUACAUAUACUGUGUAACUUACUAAGGCAUUUUUAAACAAAUAGCCGUGAAUGGUUGUUUCUGGUGAAUUGAAGGGAAAAUACAACAAAUUUCCAGAAAAUGUUGUCAAUUUAGUCAAUUAGAACUCAAAUAGCCAUAUAUUUCUGUAUUACUUUAAACUGUUGGUCUAACUAUAACAGUUCAGAAAGUCACCACCAAUGUCAAAACCCAUUAUUCUAUUUAUGUUCCCUUCACCAUGUUUGGGUUGUACAUGGUCUGGAGAUUACUAAUUUCUUUAUAUAUAUUAGUAUUUUCUCUCUCUUUAUUGAGAUAUCAAGUUAUGAAUGAGAGAGGGGGACAGAAAGUUAGAGGAAUACAGAUAUGAAGCGUAGGCAGGGUUUGAAUCCAUGCCACCAAGGGUCAUGUGUGGUCCAGAGUCAGGAGCAUUACCACUAGACCAGAAUAUGUCACAAAAUGUCUGAUACUCAAUUAACUUAAUAGGAGUCGAGGCACUCAAUGUCAAGAAGCUGCUGACUUGAUGACACUUUAAUUGCACUAUCAAUUAAUUAACAAGUAUACAUGUAUACGUACAUACAUACAUGGUUGUAAAGGAAAUCAUGUUCUAAUAAGGUGAAGAUUCUAUAAUGAAUCAAAUUAAACAAGUAUUGUGUUAGUCUAACUGAAAACAGAGAGGCUGAUUACUUUGUUGUAGUGAAAGUGAACUGGGAUAGAAAUACAUUAUCAAUCCAAUUAAAGUGAUGAUGAUGCCAACUUUGGACCAACUACAUUAUGUGUAAAGGCUUGGAUAGGCCUAUGGCUCAAAAUAUGGAAUAGAAUGUGAAUGCUGGGCUACUCAAUUAUUAAUUCAAAAAUGCAAUACAUUUUGUGUUGUAGAAGAGUAGUGGCCUGAGGGCAAACCCUUAAUGUGUUGUGAAAUCUAAUGUAAUGUUAGUGUUAUUGUAUAGAACUGCCUUUAUUUUGCUAGACCCCAUAAAGAGUAACUGCUACAUUU